rnacentral:rRNA from 1 species
GUCUAUUCCAUACCACCCUGAACGUGCCUGAUCUCAUCUGAUCUGGGAAGCUAAGCAGGGCCAGGCCUGGUUAGUACUUGGGUAGGAGACUGCCUGGGAAUACUGGCUGCUGUAGGUU